GUUGUUACAAAAUAUAAUCAACUUAACCAAAAAUUCUCAUUUUUCAUGCAACCAUACCCUUUUUUAGGCGUAUUCUUGCAAACACAUAAUGUUCCAAGUAUUUCCAAAUAUCCAAACUUCAAUUCAAACUUCAUUUCAAAUGUUGAUACCUGUGCAGAGCAGUCUAAAAUGUCUCAUAGUUCUUAAUCUUUCUGGUUGUACAAGAAUGAACUGCCGGAUGAGUUGGGUCAUGUAGAGUGUUUGGAGAAGCUCG
rnacentral:lncRNA from 1 species